rnacentral:tRNA from 1 species
GGUCCCAUCGUCUAGUGGUUUAGGACACCGGCCUCUCACGCCGGAAACGCGAGUUCGAAUCUCGCUGGGACCA